rnacentral:RNase_P_RNA from 1 species
UGAGCCGACCGGGUAAACGCGUUCCGUCGAACCGGCCCCCUUCCUGGGGCUAGGCGCGGGCCGAGGAAAGUCCGGACUCCACAGAGCACGGUGGUUGCUAACAGCAACCCGGGGUAACCCGCGGGCAAGUGCAACAGAAAGUAAACCGCCGCAUGCCUCCACUUGCGCUUCGGCGCGGUGUAGGCACACGGUAAGGGUGAAAAGGUGCGGUAAGAGCGCACCGGCACCGUCAGUGAUGGCGGUGGCUGGGUAAACCCCACUGGGAGCAAGGCAUCACGGCCCGCCACGCUAGCGGGCCUGAUCAGGCGUUAGUAGGUUGCUCGCCGAAGCCUGAAGGUAGCUGCUUGAGCCACCCGGCAACGGUUGGCCUGGAUGGAUGUUUACCACCGCGCCGUGGUGCGCGGUACAGAAUCCGGCUUAUAGGUUGGCUCAUUCG